rnacentral:lncRNA from 1 species
CUCUGCUUGCUAGCUAGCCCACUCUGUUUCUUAUUUGAAAGGGCUUGGAGGUGUAUGUGAUUGGAAAUGAGGAGUCUGAGAUGUAAGGUCUGGGUUCACAUAGACCUCCUGGGUUAGUUUCUUAAUAUUGCUGGAACAGCAUGCCUGAUAGAAUCCUCAGUGCUAGGAAGGCUUUAUUUUGGUUAGCAGUAAGAUUUCAAAGGGUCUCUCUCAGUCCAUCUUGGCAAGCAAGGAAUAGAGCAGAGCUCCUGGUGGCAGCUACACUCCUGGUGGCGGCUGCUUAUGGGCACAGAACAGUCUGUGAAGGCUGUAACCGAAAGCAGAGGCCUACACCACAUGACCUGCCUUGCCUUGAAAAUGACAUCAGAAGCUGAACACUCAACCCGCUCGUGCCUGCAGAGGACUUUCAGAGCCACCUGUAACUGUGGCGCAUUCCCGUUUAGUUCUUGUGUAUUUCUGAAGGAGAACAUAUAUAGUCUUCCAGUACGGAGUGGCUAACAGGGAAAGCCCACUAUGGUCAAGUGCACCCUAGGGUGAAUGUUGCCUCUGUAAAUGAAUGAGUUGGUGAGUUUUGCUGAGAUUGGAGAAUAGAGAGGCAUUACCUGGCGAGGUGUAACCUUGCUGAAUCAGGUGUAACCUUGCUUACCAUUUUCCCAUCUCCCUCAGCCUGUGCCCCUCACGGCUCCCAGUUACUUGUACCUCAAGGCAGUCAACAUUGGAGCAUUCCCUUCUCCAGGAUGUGGAGAAACUGUUAGCACGGCCUCAAACUACUUAAGCAUUCCUGUUCUAAACCAAUGAGAUGCUAGCACUGUGCAGAGCACACAUCCCCAAUGCCACUGGAGGCUCUGGUGGAGUUUGGCAAGCUUGAGAGAAGCAUGAAGACCGUGCAGCCCUGGCUCACUGCAGAGAGAGUUGGAACUACAGACUUGAUCAAACUUCCCUAUGCUCCAAAGACCAGUAGCUGGCACUGCCUUUCUGACUGGGCUAAAGUAAGUUUAUAGAAAUGAGGCUAUUGUAGCUAAUUUUAAUUACCAGAAGAAAACUCAGAACUGUGUCGCUAUGAGAGUCUAAAUCACAUAAAAUCCCCCACACCAAAGAAGAUAAAAGCACAUUAAUCAUGCCAUAAACAUUCACGUGGGCAACGGUUAUAUAUUAUAAAAUGAGACCAUGAAAAGGUACUAAUGUUUUGCAGUAUUGCUCUAGCCCAACCUGCAAGCCUCCUCUCAGAGAUGCUCUCUGUGGGCUUCCCAGCACUCACACCAAGCCGGACUCCCCUCCCCCUUGCAGUGUUUUGCAGCCCCAGCAGUUUGUUCCACACCACUCACUAUCUGGUGUGUGUCUAUGGAUUAUUUGACAAUGUAAGAUUCCCUACAAGGCUAAUACACCUUUGCCCACCUUUUCCUCCCUAACACCCAGCAUGGUAUUUGUUGGAGAAGUUUCAAUAAUUUUCUCUCUGCUCUAUCCGGAAUGUUUGGCAGUCAAGGAAAGGCGGGACGAAGUGACGUCCUCUUUAAAUGGAAAGGUGUGCAUCCGGAGUCAUAGCUCAGUGACAGUCCAACCCUUGCCCCUGAACAUAGUAAACUUAGUAUUCUUGCAGGCAGUAGGAGCAAGGGAGUGGGUGGAGGGAAACCAAGGAGAAGUUAGGCAGAGAUUGGCACAACUUCCAGAAAGUGCACUCUCAUAACUAGAGUUGAGCUUUGUCCCAGACUAAAUCCUAACACAAGAUGUACAGAGAUGUCUGAGAGCUGCUUGAGAGAGUAGCAAAUGAUGAAGGAGAGGGCUCAUCAAAAUGAAGCUAUGACAAAAAAACCGUCUUGGUCUUUAUAGGUGCCCUAAUGGGAAAGAAGCUAAGGAACAGCCUUGGGCAGGCAGUGUACUGGUUUCAACUAGGCUCUUGGCAAGGGUCCUUGUAGUGUGGAGAGGUGGAGAAAUACGGGUUGAACUCAGCUAAUCAAGCUGAGUGUGCACAUGCCCUGUUUAACACCAGGCUGUCCAGUGUCAGUUCCCUCGUAGGCUGUUGAUUUAUGAGAUAGCCUCUUCCUAUGUUCACAUAUAAUUACAGCAACGAGAGCUGAUAUGAUAACUGCCUAUUGCAAAGACAGGCAGUGCCUGAGGUGCACAGAUUCACACAGGUCUCCUGGCAAAAAUACUAUGGCUAGUAAAAUGUAAAAGUUGAAGAAGUUGAGUCUUUGGAACUCCGGGAGUUCAUCCCAUCUCGGGGUCUGCAGGGUCUGCCCUGUCUGAUUACAUGUCCUUGCAUCAGGUUGUGACAGAUGCUCCUAGCUAGUAGAAAUUCAUGGCACAUGUGUAAUAAGCACUGUUGCAUGAUGUUCAAGCACAGGGCUACUGAACCAGAGCACACAGACCCUGAUGUGUUCUGUGGACUUGAUUCACAGGAAUUGCACACACACUUGAUUCACCUCUGGGUCCAACGUUUCUUUCGGCUGUUAACAUGGGUAACAAACAGAGGUGGUGUCAGCAGAAACUCCAAAGGUAAUACACAUAUGAACUGGUGACUUAAUGUCAUGCCAUUCAUUGCUGCUGCACAUAUUCAAAACAUCCUUUAUGCUACCACUUUAUAUUCACCCCCAGGUCCCAUUUAAUGCUUUAAUCAUACCUCAUACCGCAAUUUAAGAUGUAUAGCUCUGCUUCUACUCGAUGGUAUUAUUUUGUAACCAUGUCUAUUUUAUUUUAAUGUUUUAAAUGUUACAUUAUAGCAGGAGUCUCCAGUCCUUUUCAAAGUGCUGAAGACCUGAGCCCUGUCCCUUGUUGCCUAGCAUAUUCUACUGUGUGUGUGGCUUAUCCUGUGAUGGCUUCCUUUUGUGGUGUGUGUUUCACCCUUAGACAAAUUGUUAGACUCACAUGGCUGACAGUGGUAAGAGAUGGGAAUUGUCGGCUCACCUCAAAGUGCAGGGGAGGGACUUUACAUGGAAUGGUAAGACGUGCUCUCAGUGGGGCUGCUGAUGCUGACAUGGUUCAGCAAUUAGGAGCACUAGUUGCUCUUGCAGAGGACCUGGGUUCAGUUCCUGGUACCCACAUGGCUGCCCACAAUGGUUCUAACUCCAGUUCCAGGGUGUCUGAUGCCCUCUUCGCUUCCACAGGCACUACACACAAGAGGCGCACACAGACGCUAGCACACUUCAAUAAAAAUAAAUAAAUC